GGGGCCGUAGUUCAGCUUGGUUAGAAUGUGCGGCUUGGGACCGCAUGGUCCCAGGUUCAAAUCCUGGCGGCCCCA
rnacentral:tRNA from 1 species